rnacentral:rRNA from 1 species
UACGAAGGGGGCUAGCGUUGCUCGGAAUGACUGGGCGUAAAGGGCGCGUAGGCGGAUGGCACAGUCAGAUGUGAAAUUCCCGGGCUUAACCUGGGGGCUGCAUUUGAUACGUGUUGUCUUGAGUUCGGAAGAGGGCCGUGGAAUUCCCAGUGUAGAGGUGAAAUUCGUAGAUAUUGGGAAGAACACCGGUGGCGAAGGCGGCUCACUGGCUCAUUACUGAGCUCAGGCGCGACAGCGUGGGGAUCAAACAGG